rnacentral:rRNA from 1 species
UGACGGUCUAACACCCGAUCAGAGGGGUAUGUUCGUAAAUGAUACUACACACUAACCUAUCCUAGGUUUGAAUUAUUCAUCUUACACACCGCCGUGCGGAAGAGUUCCCCACAUAAUAAUCUAAUCCUCUAAAUUUUAAAUUAAKAAGUACGACAGGUMAASGCGUAUACUAUGCUUARGAAUGAAUGUAUCUCAGUAGAAAGUUAAAUUUGGAUAAUGCAUUGAAACAAGUAUUUGAAAUUGAAUUUGAAAGKAAAUCUUUUUAGAUUUAAAGAUUGAACAUGGCCCUGUCAGGCGUACACAUCGCCCG